CAGUAGCCGCGGUAAUACGGAGGGUGCAAGCGUUAAUCGGAAUUACUGGGCGUAAAGCGUGCGUAGGCGGUUUGUUAAGUCUGCUGUGAAAUCCCCGGGCUCAACCUGGGAAUGGCAGUGGAUACUGGCAAGCUAGAGUGUGUCAGAGGAUGGUGGAAUUCCCGGUGUAGCGGUGAAAUGCGUAGAGAUCGGGAGGAACAUCAGUGGCGAAGGCGGCCAUCUGGGACAACACUGACGCUGAGGCACGAAAGCGUGGGGAGCAAACAGGAUUAGAUACCCCGGUAGUCCCUGUCUCUUAUAC
rnacentral:rRNA from 1 species